CCUACGGGAGACAGCAGUGAGGAAUAUUGGUAAAUGGACGCAAGUCUGAACCAGCCAUGCCGCGUGCAGGAAGACGGCUCUAGGAGUUGUAAACUGCUUUUGUACGAGGGAAAAGCCCGAGACGGGUAGCGGGUGGAAAGUAUCGUACGAAGAAGGAGCGGCUAACUCCGUGCCAGCAGCCGCGGUAAUACGGAGGAUUCAAGCGUUAUCCGGAUUUAUUGGGUUUAAAGGGUGCGUAGGCGGUUCGAUAAGGUAGAGGGGAAAUCCCGGGGCUCAACUCCGGCACUGCCUCUGAUACUUUCGGUCUAUAGUUUAGUUGCGGUAGGCGGAAUGUCUGGUGUAGCGGU
rnacentral:rRNA from 1 species